rnacentral:sRNA from 1 species
AAUAUUACGCAUAUUGAUCAAAUUUAAUAAUCGCGUUGUGCC